rnacentral:rRNA from 1 species
UGGGGAAUAUUGCACAAUGGGGGAAACCCUGAUGCAGCCAUGCCGCGUGUGUGAAGAAGGCCUUCGGGUUGUAAAGCACUUUCAGCGAGGAGGAAAGGUUGAUGCCUAAUACGUAUCAACUGUGACGUUACUCGCAGAAGAAGCACCGGCUAACUCCGUGCCAGCAGCCGCGGUAAUACGGAGGGUGCAAGCGUUAAUCGGAAUUACUGGGCGUAAAGCGCACGCAGGCGGUUGGAUAAGUUAGAUGUGAAAGCCCGGGGCUCAACCUGGGAAUUGCAUUUAAAACUGUCCAGCUAGAGUCUUGUAGAGGGGGGUAGAAUUCCAGGUGUAGCGGUGAAAUGCGUAGAGAUCUGGAGGAAUACCGGUGGCGAAGGCGGCCCCCUGGACAAAGACUGACGCUCAGGUGCGAAAGCGUGGGGAGCAAACA